CGAGUCCCUGUGUCUGAGUGCCAGGAGAUGGGGAAGGUCCCUGGGUGUCAUGUGUGCAGGAGACCGGGGAGUCCCUGUGUGUCGUGUGUGCAGGAGACUGGGGAGGUCCUGUGUGUCGUGUGUGCAGGAACGGGGAGUCCGUGGUGCGUGUGUGCGCAUGGAAGACGGGGUGAGGUCCCUUGUUGUCGUGUGUGGCAGGAGACGGGGAGGUCCCUGUGUGUCGGGUGUGUAAAAAAGCAGAGGAACGGUGGAGUCCUGUGUGUCCGUGUGUGCAGAGACUGGAGGUCCCUGUGUGUCUGUGUGUGCAGAGAGACGGAGGUCCCUGUGUGUCGUGUGUAUGCAAGGAGACACGGGGAGGUCCUGUGUGUCGUGUGUGCAGAGGAGACGGGAGGUACCUGUGUGUCGCGUGGCAGAGGAGACGGGGAGUCCCUGUGUGUCGUGUGGCGGAGAGAUGGUGGAGUCCUCUGGUGUCGUGUGUGCUAGGAGACAGGGAGGAUCCCUGUCACUGGUGUUUGCUGUGGCAGGAGAUGGUGAGGUCCCUGGUGUCUUGUGUGUGCAAGGAGACAGGGGAGUCCUGUGUGUCGUGUGUGCAGAGGAGACGGGUAGGCUUCCCUGUGUGUCGUGUGUGCGGUAGGAAGACGGGGAGGUUCCUGUGUGUCGUGUGGUGCAGGAGACGGGUGAAAGUCCCUGGGUGUCAUGUGUGCAGGAGACGGGAUGUCCCGUGGGUGUCGUUGUGUGCGGAGGAACAGGGAGGUCCGUGUGUCGUUCGUGCAGUGAGACUGGGGAGGUCCCGUGUGUUGUGUGUGCAGGAGACGGGCGGAGGUCCCUGGUUCCGUGUGUGGCGCAGGAGACGGGAGUCCUGGGUGUCGGUGGUGUGCGCAGAGGAGACGGGGAGGUCCCUGUGUAUCGUGUGUGCGGAGGAGAUGGUGAGGUCCGCUGGGUGUCUCUGUGUGCUCAGGAGACAGGGAGGUCCUGUCCCUGGGUGUUUGCUGUGCGCAGGAGAUGGGCGAGGUCCCUGGGUGUCGUGUGUGCUCAGGAGACAGGGAGGUCCCUGUCCCUGGUGUCGUUGUGUCGCAGCGAGAUGCGUGAGUGUCCCUGGUGUCGUGUGUGCGCCGAGAACAGGGAAGGUCCCUGUUCCCUGUGGUUGUCUGUGUCGCAGGAGAUGGGAGGUCCCGUGUGUGUCGUGUGUGCAGGAGAGGGCGGAGGUCCCUGUGUGUCGUGUGUGCGCAGGAGACGGGGAGGUCCCUGUGUGUCGUGUGUGCGCAGGAGACGGGAAGGUCCCUGUGUGUCGCUGUGUGCGUGAGGAGACGGGGAGGUCCCUGUGUGUCGUGUGUGCGGAGACAGGGAGGUCCCUGGUUCGUGUGUGCGGAGGAGCGGGAGGUCCCUGUGUGCGUGUGU
rnacentral:lncRNA from 1 species